rnacentral:rRNA from 1 species
ACGCUCGACAGUGCCAGCCGCCGCGGUAAUACGGAGGGUGCAAGCGUUAUCCGGAUUCACUGGGUUUAAAGGGUGCGUAGGUGGAGUGGUAAGUCAGUGGUGAAAUCUCCAAGCUUAACUUGGAAACUGCCGUUGAUACUAUCAUUCUUGAAUAUCGUGGAGGUAAGCGGAAUAUGUCAUGUAGCGGUGAAAUGCUUAGAUAUGACAUAGAACACCGAUUGCGAAGGCAGCUUGCUACACGAUCAUUGACACUGAGGCACGAAAGCGUGGGGAUCAAACAGGAUUAGAUACCCUGGUAGUCCACGCCCUAAACGAUGAUUACUCGACAUCAGCGAUACACUGUUGGUGUCUGAGCGAAAGCAUUAAGUAAUCCACCUGGGAAGUACGAUCGCAAGAUUG